rnacentral:rRNA from 1 species
AGUGAACGCUGGCGGUAGGCCUAACACAUGCAAGUCGAACGGCAGCACAGUAAGAGCUUGCUCUUACGGGUGGCGAGUGGCGGACGGGUGAGGAAUAUAUCGGAAUCUACUUUUUCGUGGGGGAUAACGUAGGGAAACUUACGCUAAUACCGCAUAUGACCUACGGGUGAAAGCAGGGGAACUUUGGACCUUGCGCGAUUGAAUGAGCCGAUGUCGGAUUAGCUAGUUGGCGGGGUAAAGGCCCACGACGGCGACGAUCCGUAGCUGGUCUGAGAGGAUGAUCGGCCACACUGGAACUGAGCCACGCUCCAGGCUCCUACGGGAGGCAGCAGUGGGGAAUAUUGGACAAUGGGCGCAAGCCUGGUCCAGCCAUACCGCGUGGGUGAAGAAGGCCUUCGGGUUGUAAAGCCCUUUUGUUGGGAAAGAAAAGCAGCAGGUUAAUACCCCGCUGUUCUGACGGUACCCAAAGAAUAAGCACCGGCUAACUUCGUG